rnacentral:rRNA from 1 species
CUGGGACUGAGAUACGGCCCAGACUCCUACGGGAGGCAGCAGUGGGGAAUAUUGCACAAUGGGCGCAAGCCUGAUGCAGCGACGCCGCGUGGGGGAUGACGGCCUUCGGGUUGUAAACCUCUUUCACCAUCGGCGAAGCCCAUAGCUUUUGUUGUGGGUGACGGUAGGUGGAGAAGAAGCACCGGCCAACUACGUGCCAGCAGCCGCGGUAAUACGUAGGGUGCGAGCGUUGUCCGGAAUUACUGGGCGUAAAGAGCUCGUAGGUGGUUUGUCGCGUUGUCCGUGAAAUUCCCUGGCUUAACUGGGGGCGUGCGGGCGAUACGGGCAGACUGGAGUACUGCAGGGGAGACUGGAAUUCCUGGUGUAGCGGUGGAAUGCGCAGAUAUCAGGAGGAACACCGGUGGCGAAGGCGGGUCUCUGGGCAGUAACUGACGCUGAGGAGCGGAAGCGUGGGGAGCGAACAGGAUUAGAUACCCUGGUAGUCCACGCCGUAAACGGUGGGUACUAGGUGUGGGUUUCCUUCCUUGGGAUCCGUGCCGUAGCUAACGCAUUAAGUACCCCGCCUGGGGAGUACGGCCGCAAGGCUAAAACUCAAAGGAAUGACGAAGGCG